GAUGAAGAACGCAGCGAAAUGCGAUAAGUAGUGUGAAUUGCAGAAUUCAGUGAAUCAUCGAAUCUUUGAACGCACAUUGCGCCCUUUGGUAUUCCAAAGGGCAUGCCUAUUCGAGCGUCAUUUGUACCCUCAAGCUUUGCUUGGUGUUGGGCGUCUUGUCUCUAGCUUUGCUGGAGACUCGCCUUAAAGUAAUUGGCAGCCGGCCUACUGGUUUCGGAGCGCAGCACAAGUCGCACUCUCUAUCAGCAAAGGUCUAGCAUCCAUUAAGCCUUUUUUUCAACUUUUGACCUCGGAUCAGGUAGGGAUACCCGCUGAACUUAAGCAUAUCAUAAGCGGAGGA
rnacentral:misc_RNA from 1 species